rnacentral:rRNA from 1 species
UACGGGGGGGGCAAGCGUUGUUCGGAAUUACUGGGCGUAAAGGGCUUGUAGGUGGCCAACUAAGUCAGACGUGAAAUCCCUCGGCUUAACCGGGGAACUGCGUCUGAUACUGGAUGGCUUGAAUCCGGGAGAGGGAUGCAGAAUUCCAGGUGUAGCGGUGAAAUGCGUAGAUAUCUGGAGGAAUACCGGUGGCGAAGGCGGCAUCCUGGACCGGCAUUGACGCUGAUGAGCGAAAGCUAGGGGAGCAAACGGG